CCGUCCCCGUGGCCGCGGUCCAGGCGCCUUCCCGCGCGCCCUGAGCGGUGCCCGCGAGGGAGCGUCGGCCUCAGUCCCCAGAGGCGGAGGCCAGACGCGGGGCGGCCGGUGGCGCCGUUGUCCGCUGCGGCCCCGCACGCGUUAGCCGAACCCCGGCGGCUGUGGUGGUUGCGGUAACUGACGUGUGAACGCGAAGGCGCGGAGCCCGCCCUCCCGGUGCGCGAACCCGGCUCCUCCUCGGGAGGGCGGCCUGCCGUCCAAGAAGCAGGCAGGACUUGGGAGACGUCUAGUGCGGCGGUGCUGCUCUGUCCAGCGGGCUGGGAUGAACGGUCUCCCAGGCUCUCGGAUUUACUCCUUGGUGCGAACCACGAUCGAGCGCCUCCCGGGCUGCAGGGCAGCCCCCCGCCACUCCCCAGUCUCCCCAGAUUGAGCGAGCCCAGAGGGCGGAAGACUUUUAGGACGCUGAGACUUGGCCCACUAAAGCCGGGAAAGACCCAGGUCUCCCUUAUUCUCUGCGCCCAGAUAUUUCACUGUGGAGUUAGCUAUGUACCCUGAAAAAAGCGAGGUCCUCUGACCCUGGUCCUGAUAUUGAUACUGUGGAAGAGUCCCCAGAAAAAGGAGAAAUAGGUUUGAGAAGAAGUCCUCGAAUCAAGCAAUUGUUGUUCAGCAGGACAAAUUCCGGUUCCUUCUCUUCUGUAUCUCAGCAGAAGUCUCGAAGUGUGCAAAGAGUUCACUCAUUCCAGCAGGACAAGUCAGACCGAAGAGAACAUUCUCCCAUCCAGAGUAUUCAGUCUCCUAAGAAGCUUCUUUUCGGGGCGGUGUCUGAGGUGACCAGUCCCUCAGAGAAGGGUUCAGCUCGAAAUAAAAGGCCUUCAAGAAACACUGUGGAGUCUCAGAUGCCUACAGCUUAUCAGCAGGGGACGUCCCCUCCUGGACAGAGAAAUAAGAACCAUCUGAUGUGAAUCGCCUCAUUCCAGCCACAAAACCAGCCCCUUCUCCCAGACAAGCGUCAUCUGCUACUUGUGCCUUGGGUCCCACCUCUUCUCACUGUUCCAGGGACCCUCUGCAAUCACUAUACAAUAUUUUUCCCGAUAUCCCCCUCCUGUCUCUCUUUACUGACUUAUUCCCAUUUGCUUUGAACAUGCUCAGAUUUUACCCUUUUUAUGCAAAAGACUCCUUUAUUCUUCUUCCCCGCCUUUUAAAAACUACUCUAGCAUCUCAUUUCAAUCAGUGACUUCCAAAAAGUGUCUUCCACAUCUAAUAAAGUUAAGCCUCUAAUAUAAUGUAGAUUUCUUAUCCCUAGUGUGUUUGUUAUUUUUUUAAUAUUGAUGGAAAGAUUGAAUUAAAAAUAAUGGAGAGGCAGGGCAGUCAGGUGGCUCAGUUGGUGAGAGCCCAAGCUCUGGGCCACAGGGCUGCCGGAUCGCUUUCCACAUAGGCCAGCGAGCUGCACCCUCGGCAACUAGAAUGAAGACGAGCUGCAGCUGACUCCCAGGCAUUCGGAGGGCUCAUUUGGCUGCAACUAAGAUUGAACACAGCACUUUGAGGUGCACUGAUGCAGAGCUCCUGAGUGGCUCAGUAGAUUAGAGCGUGGGUUCUCAACCCCAAGGUUGUUGGUUCGACUCCUGUGAGAGAUGGUUUUUGUACCGCGCGCCCCCUGCAUCUAAGAUUGAACACCGCACCUUGAGAUGUGAGCUUCCGAGUGGCUGGGUGGCUC